rnacentral:rRNA from 1 species
UACGUAGGGACCAAGCGUUGUCCGGAAUCAUUGGGCGUAAAGAGCGUGUAGGCGGCUUGUUAAGUCUUGCGUGAAAUCUCGGGGCUCAACCCCGAGCGGUCGUGAGAAACUGGCAGGCUAGAGUGCGGGAGAGGAGAGUGGAAUUCCUGGUGUAGCGGUGAAAUGCGCAGAUAUCAGGAAGAACACCCGUGGCGAAGGCGGCCGGCUGGGCCGGGUCUGACGCUGAGGCGCGAAAGCGUGGGGAGCAAACAGG